rnacentral:lncRNA from 1 species
AGUUUCCGGAGCGGAUCGCAACCCGGAGUCCGGAUCCGAUCCCGCUCUGCACAUUCCAAAGGCAGGUAAAGCUCCGGGCCCUGCGCCCGCCGCCCGCCCCGGCGUGCGCCCCGCCGGCCCCGGGCCGCACCCGCUGCCCCCGCGAGCCCCGGCGCGCCCUGGGCCCGCUGCCCCCCGCCCCCCGCGCCCGGCAGCCGCGCGCCGCCCCGGUCCAGCCGCCAUGCCGACUGUUCUUUGUUACAUUCGCCGGCUGCGGGCACCGUUGGCGAUCGGAGUCAAAACCCGGCUGGAUUUCCCGGAGCCGCUCCGGGAUCGCCCUGCGCGCCGCCCGCCCGCCGGGUCCCGCCGCCGCGGGCGCUCCUGGCCGGGCUCCGCGCCCCCGUCCCCUGCCUCGCGCCCCCCGCCCGCCCGCGGCCAGGCCCAGCGCGGGGCCGCGGGGCUGCCGGGCCGCGCUCGCCCGUGGGCGCGGCGCAGGGUCUUCGCCGCCCCGGCCCGCGGCCCCGCGGCCCCCGCCGCCGGGCGGCGUCGUCGCCGAGGCCCCAGGGGAUGUCGUUAUCCCCCGCCCUCGGGUACAGCCCAUGCGGGUCGCACGGGGGGGUCCCUGGACCCCCAACCCCGCGUUUAGAGAAGCUGAGUCCUGGUGAUGGGGUCUCCCAGACCCCCUGCGCCUUAUUUUCGUAAGCCUUUUGGUGGCAGAGAGAAGGUAGCGAGGUGGAUGGACAGGUGACGCGUGCCUACCCGGGGUGGGUGGCCGUUCGGGGACGGGGCGUGCCCGGCCGCUCAGGUGAGGCCCGCCUCGCGUGGACAGGUGGGGACGGGGGCCACGCGCAGCGUCCUGCUAGAGGGGAGGUGUUCACGCAGGGGUUAGCCUUGAGAAAAUAGAAAUGAAAACUCAUGGAAAUAAACACUCCUAUCUGGUGGUUAGAGUUAUCACCCAUUUACCUUUCUUAACCCCCUAAUGUAGUGGAUGGUUUUUUCCCCCACAAAUGCUCAGAAAUUGCCCCUCACCCCCAAGUCCCCAAAGGGAGUUUAAAACGGUAGAAACAAGUGUGUGAUCAGAGACACGUGGACCUGUGUGUGUAUUUAAAGCUACCAACACUCGUUUUAAAAAAACCACAUUGGCUUAAGCCAGACUCAAGUGAAUUUGGAGAACCUAGCUUGGUUCCUGAAGGGUGGUGACAUGUGAAGGAGCCACUGGCUUUGUGAUGUACCUUAAAAGGUAGCAGUGACAGUUCUCCUUGGAGAAUGCAAUGAUGUCAACACUCGAUAAGGGUGGUGAUCCCACCCCGGUGCACACACCACUACCGUAUUUUGUUUCAAGCUCGGACAUUUUCACGUGUUCCACGUUUUCACUGCUUCACUCCUUCCCCAGAUUUCCUGACAUCGCUGCCUCACGGUGAACGAUUAAGAAAUAGUAGCUCUAUAAUUUAGACUUUCAAGAGCAAAAACACCAUUUUUUUUAUAGUUUGUUUUUCUUCUAUCUGUGAUUCAUACUUUUUGCCGCAAAGUAGCCAGCAAAGAACAAGCUAAAUGUUCCAUUUUGGAAGCAGGCGGGACGGUUAUUUCUCCAGAAGACAAAUAAAUAAAUUUAAAAAUCAACUGUAGUUGGAAGGCUGCUAGCUUGUCUUAGAAUAAUUAUAUUUGACAAAGAACUCUUUUCACUUAGGAUGUGGCUCUCAUAUCAUUUUCGAUGUCAUUAUCUGUACAGAAGGCCAGGAAAGAACAGUCCUGCCAUUUUGCAGAUUGAAGGGAGAUUUAAGGCAACUGUGUCUUCCACCCGUGCGCUCAAGAGGUUGGGAUGUGAAUGGAGAGAGGGCUGCACCUGGUGGACCUAAUGUUCUGGGCAGGGGAGUGGAGGUGGUGUAGACAGAAAAUCAUAAAACUCUCAGGAGAAGCCAAGAUCAGCGAUCCUCCCGUCUUGGCCCCCCAAAGUGCUGGGAUGACAGGUGUCAGCCUGUCCUGGAGUCCUCCAAGCCCGUGGGGUCUGAUGAGCACAGACGGCUCAGCUCUUCCUUGCUUCCAUACCCUUACAUAAAACUGGAGCUCGGCUUUCUCAGAGAGGAUGCUUUUAUUUGCCUGAGAUGCACCAUCUGUUACUGGCUCCGUUUGACCGAUCUCCUUGUUCAUCGUGGUCCAGGUCUGCACCUGACAGCUCUGAGUGCUGACCU